GUCUGACGCAACAGGUUAGUAUUUAUAAACAGUUUUAUUUGCUCACAAAGAGUACGGGUGUAGGGUCCAGAUGAUGUGAUGGUGACGAUGAUGAUGAUGUGAUGGUGAGUGAAUAGUUCGUAGAACAGUUCAA